rnacentral:lncRNA from 1 species
ACCCUGUCCUAUGUGGACGUCAGCACUGGGAAGUGCACAGCCAGAGAACAACACAUCACACACAGGAAACAGUUGUGCUCAUGUGAUGGGGGCCUCAGCACUAGGAAGGAGUGGACUAUUGGCGCAUGUAGCAGCUUGAAUAAAUCUGAAAGUCACUACACUGCGUAAGAGAAGCCAAAUAAAAAAGUUCAUGCUGUGUACAGAGGGUGUUGAGAAUGCCUCCUACGUGACGGAAAGCAGAUCCGUGGUUCCCUGCAGACCGGCAGGAGCAGAUUCCAAAGGCACAGGAAGAAGCUUGCAGGCAGCUGCUCCCAACCCCAGCAACUUUGCUAUCUUAGAACGGAUCACCAGUGAAAGAGGGGAAGUUGCUACUGUGAUGAAUUCUGCCAUGUGGUACCAGACUGCUGCCCAGACCACAGUGUCCUCUGCAACCCUGGUAACUCACAUACAGGCCUGAUUCCACCUACAGCAAAGCUGGAUGCUAUGGUUGGCAGAGGCAAGCCCCUUGCCUGC